AUUGAACGCUGGCGGCAGGCCUAACACAUGCAAGUCGAACGAGUGGCGGACGGGUGAGUAAUGUCUGGGAAACUGCCUGAUGGAGGGGGAUAACUACUGGAAACGGUCGCUAAUACCGCAUACCCUCAGAUGUUCCCAGAUGGGAUUAGCUAGGUGGUGGGGUAACGGCUCACCUAGGCGACGAUCCCUAGCUGGUCUGAGAGGAUGACCAGCCACACGGGAACUGAGACACGGUCCAGACUCCAACGGGAGGCAGCAGUGGGGAAUAGUGCACAAUGGGCGCAAGCCUGAUGCAGCCAUGCCGCGAGUAUGAAGAAGGCCUUCGGGUUGUAAAGUAAUGGCAGCGGGGAGGCGGUACCCGCAGAAGAAGCACCGGCUAACUCCGUGCCAGCAGCCGCGGUAAUAC
rnacentral:rRNA from 1 species